ACGCUCGACACCUACGGGAGGCAGCAGUGGGGAAUAUUGCNCAAUGGGGGAAACCCUGAUGCAGCGACGCCGCGUGAAGGAAGAAGUAUUUCGGUAUGUAAACUUCUAUCAGCAGGGAAGAAAAUGACGGUACCUGACUAAGAAGCCCCGGCUAACUACGUGUCAGCAGCCGCGGUAAUCUGAGCGGGCUGGCAAGGC
rnacentral:rRNA from 1 species